UCUUCCUCAGACCUCCUUGAAUAACUGACUUAAAUUCUCUUAAGCCACUCCAGUUUCUCUGUAUUUAAGGUUUAAUUAUACAUAUAUCAGAAAAAUUGUUUUUCAUAUAUUUCCUUAAAGCUCUUGGCUCCUUCAGAAACUUUGAUCAGGUAACCGGCUGUUAUACAGAGAACACUGCUUCUCAUGUUGACCACCACCUUCUUGCGGUUUCCCAUCUGUUGUUUGUAAGCACCUCAUGUCUUGUGCCACUGAUGCUGUUAGCUCCUUUGAAAACAAGCUCUAUUUUCUUCUGUUUGCACAGUGCAUCAAAAAAAAAAAAAACAGGAAAACAAUCCAUGACUGGGAAUCCUAUAUAAUAGCAGAAUAUAUUUUUUUUUUGCUAGGAAGCUCAGUUAGUGAAACUUACCACAGAGGAACAACUCUGCUACAAAGUAUAAGACAACUUAGUUCAUAAAUACACAGAGUAGUCAUUCAAGUAAUCUUGCUUAUUUGAGGGAACAGAACGAACGAGAAAGAGACCAAAUGAGAAAGCGGAGCUGCAUAUGUAAGAGAGGGGACAGGACACGUUAGAAGAACUAGGCAGAAAAUGCCCAGACUAAAAAUCUCCGUAAAUAAGCUCAUCCCUUUCCAGAACUCGUUGAAGUUGCUUCUGUUUCCUCUGGAGCUGGUCUGCCCCUAGAAUUACUUUCUUUCUCUAACCAAAGAAAGGCUUAUGGAGAGAGAUUAAUAUAUGGACAUAAAAACUGUCACAGAGUAAGGAUCACUUCUUUCAAAAUUUUCAGUCUGAGCGAAGGAAGGGUUGUUUUGCGCUGUCAUGACUCCAAACGCAGUUCAGUAAGUAUUCUUCUGUUUUACAAAACAGUCAAUGGACUUGCUUCAAUUCAGGGAAUUUACUGUCCUCAACCAUACAGUCUUUCAGUUGUUACAUCCUGUUGUGCUUUCUAUACAUAUAAGGUGGAAUGGAAAUCUGGUUGGUACUUUCUCAUCCAUGUGAAAAUUCCUGGAUUCCUACAUAAUUCCACUUACAGUACUUCUCUGCAAGUGUCCUUUAGAAGUAUUAAGCUAAAUUUUGAGCCUUACUCAGGCCUUAUACAAACUCCUAUUGCCUUUAGGAGAAUUUUAGUAGACAAACAUGACAGAGAAUAUCCUUAUGUGACAGAGCAUCAUGAUAGGCUAGAGAUAACUGGCCAGAGAACUGCUGGUCUGUAAGCAAAAUAAUUUUUUUUUUUCAUUAGCCUUUAUAAUUUCUUUUCUUUUCACUACAUUAAAGAUUCUCAGUAUUUAAUUAAGGCUUAAAACAGCUACUUGUGAUAUAAUACUGACUAACCUAUUAUUGUCAGAAGGAAUGCAAUUACUUACAUAUACUUUCUAUCUUGUGGGCAGGAAGCCGUGGAGAGAUAGAAUCAAGAUAUGUGUUUUAGAUACACUGGCAUGUAGAGAAAAUAUCUCCCACAACUUGAAGUAUGCGCAAUUUCUAAUUUGUUUCUUUUUCUCCUAUUGACAGAAGCCCAAGGUGAUGCAUUCUUCCCUUAACAUUUCUAGAAAUGCACAGGACCUAUAUCUAGACAUAUCCUGAAGACAGUUCAUGAGGUUUUUGUAGUCCAUGUCACAAAUAAAAAGGCUAUGGAUGAUUCUGGUCUCUCCCUUCCUUGAUGAAUCAUGAAAGCAACAGAACGUGUUUUUUGGCUAAAGAACAGCAGCUUAGCACAAUGCCAAGUGAAAUCUAAAUGGAUACAAGAAGUUGCAUCUGGUAUUUUGUAAAUAAGAGACAGGUGGAGCCUCAAAGGCUCCCAAAAUAUGAUCCAAGAACAAAAGCAUGGCUUGUGUUCUCUCAAGAAAUUAGAAAUCAUGUGAUUAAUGGCAGCUUAUUUCUGGUGCUCUGACGUUGCUAAGGAAGAAGGGAUGUCCAGAAGCAGGGAACAAGAUAACCAGAGAGCAUACUGAAAAAGAAGGGAGAGACGGACAGCAGGAACAGCAGGGAGGCUCUGUGAGGUUAGGAGUGAGGCUGCCAGGUUACUGCCCACAACACGAGAGCUACGCAGGCACAAAGGAAUACACAGGCUGGAACUCGGCCCUAAUGAAGCACCUAAUGCUAAUAACAACACUGAAAAGGGAAGGAGUGAACAAAGGUUCAGCUACAGCAAGAAGGGCAUUUCACAUCUGGAAUUCAACAGUUACAAGAGCACUUGCCGCUUUGUCUAUGCCCAUUUCUUGAAGUGGGAACUUUGGGUUUGAAAUCUCUCAGACUGAAACUGGCCUCCAACCCAGCUCUCCCGCUGUUAAACAACAGCUUGGCUUGACUCCACCCCCUUACUGUGGUUACCAACAAAAAACCCAUGAUUGCUGUGUCCUAUCUGCCGUGUGCUGGAACAUACCUAUCAGCUCAAGUUGCUCAAGUAAUCGGAAGGGUUUUGCACAACCAUGAGAGAAGAAUGCAGUCCAGUAUUUUCAGGAAGAUGGAUUCCAGCCCAUUAAAACUAAAAUUUCAGAAAGACAGGCACUCUGAUGUAUCAUCUGUCAAGAAGCUGGAUAUGGAAGCUGUCCAGAGGUGAAAAGCUGAAACAGAAUUUUGGGAAAUUUUCAUAAAAAUAAAUACAGAGAAGAAUAUUGUUGUAUUUUUCUGUGAGAAGUCUUUGCAGAUGUAAUAUGAACAUAAUCCACCAGCAAUCUGUAAAAACCUAAACAAGAUCUGGAUCAUAACUGUACAGUACCCUAUAGAACUGGAGUAUGCGAUCAAACAGUAUCCUUACAGUAACUCUCAAGGAGAGUUUUGAGUUAUAAGAAAUAAUGGCAAUGAAGGGCAGAUUUCACAGGGCAGAGCACUCAUUUAAUGAGAUGUUCUGAUUUAAGCUAUAGAAAUUUUAAUAAAACUAGGUGAAAGUCAUACAAACAGAAAUAGUAAAAACAUCAGGCAUAUAGGAUAUGGAACCAUGUCUUGCAGGGUAUCGUGAGUCUGGAAGAGUAUUUCAAUUCACAUAGAUCUAGAAAACCUUUACAGUGAAAGACUAAACAAGAUCAAUUUAUCUGGUUUAUCUGGGAAAAGAUUAUGCCUAAGUCCCCUUCUAAUCUAAAAGUAGGUACAUAGAAGAAUUUCGAUAAUGGAAAGCUUUUUAAUCUAGCUGACAGAACAAGAGCCAAUGGAAAAAAUCAUUUAAAUCAUUUUGGAAAUAAAACACACAUUUUUAAACAGCGAGGGUUCUGUGUAACAAAUUACAAAAACAUGUUAUUGAUUUCACAUCAUUUUAAGUCUUUAUGUUGGAAUGUUUUUCUAAGGGUGCUAACACUGCCAAAAGUUAUAGCCUUGAUGUAAGAAGCACUAAGUGAAGGUAUGUAUUAUGAGCUGUACUGAAGGUCAGACUAGGUGAACAUCAUGGUCUUUUCUGAGUUUAUAAUCUAUAAAUCUUCAAUAUUAGGCCACGGUUUACGCAAUUCUGUAGCUAUUGUGAUAAGUUGCUUUAGC